rnacentral:lncRNA from 12 species
CUCAUGACAUCAAUGGAAUUGAUGUUCUUUGGGAACUUCAUUUAGAUUGGUUCUGUCUUAUUUUUAUUUCCUUUGCCUUUUUUUUUUUUUUUUUUUUUUAAAAAGUGGGGUGGAGGGGCAGAGGGAAGGGAGAGAGAGAGCAGAGGGAAUCUUAACCCAUCUCCAUGCCAAGAGCAGAGCCCAAUACAGGGCUCAGUCUUACAACCCUGCAAUCAUGACCUGAGCUGAAAUCAAGAGUUGGUUGCUUAACUGACUGAGCCACCUGGGUGCCUCUUUCCUGCUUUUUAAGACACAUGUAAAAGUCUUGUUUGAGUUUGGCCUUGGUGCAAAAUGGAAUUCUUGGGAGUGCUCUGCUGAGUUCCUCUUGAAACAGGAGACUCAGGUUGAAUUUCUGUGGUAGUAAAAGAGAUUUGUUCAUUUCAGUUUUUGGUUUUGAGGCAUGGAUGUAUGGGAGUUUUCUUUAGGGCCUUCGUUAAUAGAGCACAAGGCAAGAACUCUGUAUUUAAACAUUUUAGAUUAAUUAUUGGUGGUCUGAAAAAUGUGGACUUUCAGCCAGAAAUGUAGCAAAGAACAAACACAGUCCAAUGAGUCAAUAAAGAAAUAUUAAAAUGAUUAAGUAUAGCUAUAGCAUUACCUCUAGGAACUAGGUUUGGAUAGACUUCAUUGAUUUUUUUGCAAUCUUGUUCAAAUUGCUUUUACUCUCUGCAGUUUCUUGCAAUGACUUGCUAAUAUUUUGAGUUCUACUUUGCAGAGAUGAUUAUUUGCCUGAGUUUGAGAUCUGUACAUAGCAAAACAUUUUGCAAGUGAAAGAAAAGACUGCCUUAAAAUUUUAUUAGCUGGAGUGGGAAUUCACUGGAUCACAACUAUGAUAAUAUAUUCUUCCCAGCAAAACAAUAAUUUUUUUUAAUCCAAGAGGAUUGAGGUAUUUAUUUGGACAAACUCAUUUGGUUGGCAUGCAGAACAAGCAGGCUUUACAUUUCUAAUAAUAAAAGCUGUGGAUAUCCUGUCUUAUGGAGACAAGCACUUGGACUUCAUAUAGGAGGGAUAAUUCCAAAGAAAUUCAAGCAUUUAAUAUGUAGCUUAAGAACUCCAGAAAUGUAUUUUGGAAGUUUUAAAGGAGAGCUUUAUUUAAAAAAGAUCUUAAUAAUUGGAAAAGGAAGAAUGGAAUAUGCUACUUUCCUAAUAUGGAUGUUAUAUUUUUAACCUACAAAACUCCUUUGGACUGAACAAAAUCAGCAACGAAACAGCAACAUUGUGGAGAAGGAAAAAGUCUGAUCCAAAGGCAAACCAAUCAGUGCUCUACACCUGGCUAAGUAGAAGAAUGAACACAAAAGGAAAUCACUGUUUACAAUGAGCAGAUGGUGGUUAGAAGCUGAGAUAUAAAAGAAUGAAAAAGGGAAGAAAAUAGGAUUCAUG